rnacentral:rRNA from 1 species
AUUGAACGCUGGCGGCAUGCUUUACACAUGCAAGUCGAACGGGCUUAGGUGCUUGCACCUAAGUUAGUGGCGAACGGGUGAGUAAUGCAUCGGAACGUACCGUGUAGUGGGGGAUAACCCGGCGAAAGUCGGAUUAAUACCGCAUACGAUCUAAGGAUGAAAGCAGGGGAUCGCAAGACCUUGCGCUAUACGAGCGGCCGAUGUCGGAUUAGCUAGUUGGUAGGGUAAAGGCCUACCAAGGCAACGAUCCGUAGCGGGUCUGAGAGGAUGAUCCGCCACCCUGGGACUGAGACACGGCCCAGACUCCUACGGGAGGCAGCAGUGGGGAAUUUUGGACAAUGGGCGAAAGCCUGAUCCAGCCAUGCCGCGUGAGUGAAGAAGGCCUUCGGGUUGUAAAGCUCUUUUGUCCGGGAGCAAAUCCUGUUCACUAAUACUGAGCGGGGCUGAGAGUACCGGAAGAAUAAGCACCGGCUAACUACGUGCCAGCCGCCGCGGUAA